GAUGAACGCUGGCGGCGUGCCUAAUACAUGCAAGUCGAGCGAACGGACGAGAAGCUUGCUUCCCUGAUGUUAGCGGCGGACGGGUGAGUAACACGUGGAUAACCUACCUAUAAGACUGGGAUAACUUCGGGAAACCGGAGCUAAUACCGGAUGAUAUUUUGAACCGCAUGGUUCAAAAGUGAAAGACGGUCUUGCUGUCACUUAUAGAUGGAUCCGCGCUGCAUUAGCUAGUUGGUAAGGUAACGGCUUACCAAGGCAACGAUGCAUAGCCGACCUGAGAGGGUGACCGGCCACACUGGAACUGAGACACGGUCCAGACUCCUACGGGAGGCAGCAGUAGGGAAUCUUCCGAAAUGGGCGAAAGCCUGACGGAGCAACGCCGCGGGGGGGAUGAAGGUCUUCGGAUCGUAAAACUCUGUUAUUAGGGAAGAACAUAUGUGUAAGUAACUGUGCACAUCUUGACGGUACCUAAUCAGAAAGCCACGGCUAACUACGUG
rnacentral:rRNA from 1 species